rnacentral:lncRNA from 1 species
GGUAUGCACUUACAUGGAAUCUAUCGACCUUGAUAGAAGAGGAGUGAUCCUAUGUGAUUUAUUAGACAGAGUUUUAAGACCUUGGCCAGGGCAAUAAUAUAUAGUGGAGAAAGAGUUUUCCACUAUCGAACUCAAGUCGAAUAAAUCUAGAUAUAUGACAGACGACGGGGUUUGACGGGUUAUCCAUGACCUCCGGUCUGUAGGGAUCCACGAUAGAAGGACUGUA